AACGGAAACGUAACCCUUACCGUAGGGUUUGACAUGACAAGUGGUAAGGAAACUAGAAAAGGGACCGACCCUUCGGGGAGCUUGCACAGGUGCUGCAUGGCUGUCGUCAGCUCGUGUCGUGAGAUGUUCGGUUAAGUCCGCUAACGAGCGCAACCCUCACUGUGUGUUAUAUGUGUCACACGGGACUGCCGGUUUUAAGCCGGAGGAAGGUGGGGAUGACGUCAAGUCAGCAUGGCCUUUAUAUCCUGGGCUACACACACGCUACAAUGGUCGGUACAAUAGGUUGCCAAACCGCAAGGUGGAGCCAAUCCCUAAAGCCGGCCUCAGUUCAGAUUGUAGGCUGCAACUCGCCUGCAUGAAGAUGGAGUUGCUAGUAACCGCAGGUCAGCAAUACUGCGGUGAAUACGUUCCCGGGUCUU
rnacentral:rRNA from 1 species